UCCAUGGGGCUGCAGGGGUUUUUUUUACUCCUCAGCCAGGACAAAAUCAUCCCUUAAGGAUUAUUGUUGGGGCCACCACAAGCUGGACAGCCUUGUUAUCCUACCUCAGACAUUU